rnacentral:ncRNA from 1 species
GCUACCAACCCUUAACUGUUUGGAGUUUAAAUUGGAAGUGCCCUUCUGGUACGAGGCCUGACCGGAGGCUUUUAAUCUGGUACCACGGGUAACCAGGAGCCCACGGAACUUGUUCCGUCCUGGUUAGUUGGUGCGGCCCUUCGGGGAGUAUCGUGGUGGUUGUGGUUUAACACCCAAAUGCGGGUAGAGCAUCGCUCGACGUGGAGUUGCGUCAUACAACCGGGUUCCGUGACCCAGAUUACGGAAGAGGCUUAGAUAGUCCUCGUGCCAAACCAAGGUAGAAGUCACAACCAAACAGUCGUGUCUUUAAUUGGUACCUGCGGAAUUGUUCCAAGGGGGCGGUGAUUGACGCUUGAAUUAAUCCUAUACUAGGAACCGUGAGAUUAAGCCAUCGCGGCAGGUGCUCACGUUAAGCCCACUGACUUUCAUGUCCCUAUCUACUAUCUAGCGAAACCACAGCCAAGGGAACGGGCUUGGAAUAAUUAGCGGGGAAAGAAGACCCUUUUGAGCUUGACUCUAAUCUGGCAGUGUAAGGAGACAUAAGAGGUGUAGAAUAAGUGGGAGAUAUUAGACUUCGGUUUGGUAUCGACAAUGAAAUACCACUACUCUUAUUGUUUCCUUACUUACUUGAUUAAAUGGAACGUGUAUCAUUUCCUAGCCAUUAUACGGAUAUAAUUAUUAUGUCUUAUGGUAUUGGGUUUUGAUGCAAGCUUCUUGAUCAAAGUAUCACGAGUUUGUUAUAUAAUCGCAAACAAAUUCUUUAAUGAGAGAAUGCAUUUAUGUAUUAUUGAUUUAAAAAUUUGGUAUAACUCCAAUUACUCAGGUAUGAUCCAAUUCAAGGACAUUGCCAGGUAGGGAGUUUGACUGGGGCGGUACAUCUCUCAAAUAAUAACGGAGGUGUCCCAAGGCCAGCUCAGUGCGGACAGAAACCACACAUAGAGCAAAAGGGCAAAUGCUGACUUGAUCUCGGUGUUCAGUACACACAGGGACAGCAAAAGCUCGGCCUAUCGAUCCUUUUGGUUUAAAGAG